GAUGAACGCUGGCGGCAUGCCUUACACAUGCAAGUCGAACGGCAGCACGGGAACAAUCCUGGUGGCGAGUGGCGAACGGGUGAGUAAUACAUCGGAACGUGCCCAAUCGUGGGGGAUAACGUAGCGAAAGCUACGCUAAUACCGCAUACGAUCUACGGAUGAAAGCGGGGGAUCGCAAGACCUCGCGCGAAUGGAGCGGCCGAUGGCAGAUUAGGUAGUUGGUGAGGUAAAGGCUCACCAAGCCUGCGAUCUGUAGCUGGUCUGAGAGGACGACCAGCCACACUGGGCCUGAGACACGGCCCAGACUCCUACAGGAGGCAGCAGGGGGGAAUUUUGGACAAUGGGCGCAAGCCUGAUCCAGCAAUGCCGCGUGCAGGAUGAAGGCCUUCGGGUUGCAAAGCUCUUUCGCAAGGGAAGAAAACUUAGCCACUAACAUUGGUUGAGGUUGACGGUACCUUGAUAAGAAGCACCGGCUAACUACGUGCCAGCAGCCGCAGUAA
rnacentral:rRNA from 1 species